AUCCUCUCUAGAAGGAACAGAAAAUGCACCUCAUUAAAGAUAGAAUUCUUGUCUGUGUAUCCAGGUUGCACAGAAGGGAUUCAAGGAAUGUCAGCCAGCACUUCUUGCAUGAAGUGUGGGCACCAGAAGCAAUGAGAGAGGUGAAUCCUCUGUUCACGCUUUGCCUUUGAUGAGGCAGGUAGGAUAGAUUUAGUAUGCUGCAUAAUAACCGUUCAUCUCUCCAAGGAAAUCUUUUGUUCAGUGUGACACUCUAUGCAGUGGUUUGACCUAACCUCCAAGCUAAACGACUUACUUGCCUAAAUCUUUUAAUGAGUAUUUUUGAUAGCCCUGGAGACUGAACUCCUUGGAGUAGCAGUGGUGACGGUUUCCUCUAUGCCAUCCUUCCUAUGUAGCUCAAUUCUGACCAAGAGCCUGUCACCUCUGGAGCAGCGGGAGAGGGAUGAGGGGUGGAGCAGAGGAUGUCCCAUAUUUCAGGGUUCCAUUUCUCACAAUGCUGUAUGUUCUGGGCUCUGCUUUUCAGUUUCAGGAGGUGGGUCUCUUUUUCUCUGCUUCCCUGUCUGUGGGGGAUGUGUGCUCACAGAUAACGUAAUGUACUUUCCUAAACUGGGUUCACUUUAAUAUCAGACCGACUGAUCCUCACUUGGACUCGCACUCUGACUCUGGCUCUGAUCCAGCUUGGGGUAACCCACAGCAGAGCCGCCAAGAGAGAGUGGAGCUCCAAACCCAAAAUAACAUUACAUGAUUCUACAAUAUAUACUCAUGCAUGUGAGACUCCUGUACCCAGACACCGACCAUAUACACCACCCACAUGUCCUUACACAUAUGGCACUUUACAUAUACACAUAUUGAUAAGCACACAUCUGCUCUUUCAAAUUUUCCAUUUUGCAUCUAUGUACUUAGAGAAAAAAAAUGAACACGUAUUUACAAUCCCAACCACUGCACUGUACAAGCCAAGAAGUGUAAAACUGCAUGAAAAAAAACCCAAAGUAGUAAACUGACCUUGGGAAUUUCAUAAUAGUUGUAAAUCUGAUAAGGUUUAUCAGAACGUCUGAUAAGGUUCCUGAGCAUUUGAGUAACCAUGGGGCUGACUAAGGGGAUUGUGGUUGAAUUUCGGUGACUGGUUUGGGUUUGACUGAACCUGAAACUCAGUAGAACUUGGAAGAUGUGAACCAAGCAGUUUAGAACCAAACAUGGACAACCCCUGUGUUGAGGAAAUGUAUGAUUUCUUUGCAGAUGUAACAUGGAGCUGCCCUCUGUGUUUCUAAUGUGAAAUGCCUGAGGGACUGACUGGACUGGAUGUGAUCCCAACACGGUAUAGAUAAUGUUGAUGUCCUCUCCGAAUACCAGUAGCAGGUGGGUGGAAUAAGAGAAAAAUACCCAGGACUCUGGGGAAAAUACAGCAGGACAGUUGGGGGUGGAGGGCGAGAGCAGCCUGUGUACUAGCUGCUUUGUUGACUCUGUGGGUUGUCAGAGGCUGAAAGGCGAUAAGAAGGACAAAGUCCGCACCUGUUCUCUCAGCGCAAACACCCUUAUCUCUGUUCCUGCUGCAGCCUCUUCCACAGCAACCAGACGGUCCAAGGAGCAAGCUCAACUGCAGUUAAAGUGUGGCAGGAGGCUGAGACGGGGAGAAAUCUCUUUUCUUAAAAUGGCACCACUGGUGGUUCUCUGAUGGUGGAGCUGUGCCAAAAUGCUCCAUUUUCCACCCUCUCCCCUUGUACUCUUCAAAGACCCCCAAAUUAGGGCAACCCAUCUAGCCUAUUUUUCCCCAUUCCUGAGCUUUAAGCAGUUGGUGUUUGCUCUACUACCUCUUGAGACGAGGACUAAUCUCCUCCUUAUUGUGGUCUCUCUUAAUUCAGCCUCUAUGAAUCUAGCCUGCAGCUGAGCCCUGGGCACUUUCCUUCUUUAAAGAGAUACCCAACAGCCCCAGGAUUCUGUUGUACAGUGAUAGAUUAGAAGAUGCUCAAGGGCAAGGCUUCUGCCCUGUCUUUCAGAUCAUGUUUCUGGGUCAGCUAGUGAAGAAAGGGAGGGGGAUUCAUGAUCACCCAUAGACGCUUCUAUAACAUACUGACUUCCUUCCCACUUGGCAUCUGAGCCACUUACUUCCUCUCUCUCUCUUAUCAGAAUCCCCAGCUCUCUCUGUCAGGAAGGAGUGGGGAGGUACUUGGGAGAGGAUGAGACUCACACUCUUUCAUAGUUUAGAACACUAUGGGGUGCCAAGGUAGAAACACAUUCCCAAGGUGUGUCUACAAUUAGAAUAAUAGAAUUUCAAGGUUGGAAGGGACCUCAGGAGGUCAUCUAGUCCAAUCCCCUGCUCAAAGCAGAACCAAUCCCCAGACAGAUUUUUUGCCCCAGAUCCCUAAGUGACCCCCUCAAGGAUUGAACUCACAACCCUGGGUUUAGCAGACCAAUGCUCAAACCACUGAGGUGCAUCUGCACUUGGGAGCUGUUUACAGCACGGAUGUCCCCUAACACGGGUAAAGGGUGGUUUCAUGGUGUAGCAUAGAUGAUGCCUUAACUGUGUGCACAUGUACUGUCAAAGCCAAAGCUUUAAUUCCUGUGUAAAGAGACCUCGUGACCCUAGGUUAUACUGCAGAGCAGGCUGUGUGUGUUGCUAGGUCAGUUGAACACUCUCACAGACUAUCACUUAUCCUCAUUGUGCCACCUGCAGAGACCUUCACCAUAGACACAAACACCAGGGGUGAAAUCCUUGCCCCACUGAAGUCAAUGGCAAAACUCUCUUUGCCUUCAGUCGGAGUAGGAUUUCACCCCAGGCCCAAUCUUGCUCACCUUACUUGGGCAAAACGCCCAAUUAAUUUAGUAAAUCAGGACGGCAAAAAGGUCCCAGCCUUGUUCAACAUCUGACCACUUCCUGCCUCAUUUUGGCUUCAGCUUUCCAUUCUUCCCAAGUACAAACUUUACCCCCAUUGCUUUACCAUUCUUCAGGGUCUAUCUCCAGAUUUUCCUUAUCUUCAGAUAAUAGACUUUUACUCUUUCCUUCUCAUCUUCUAGGUCCUGGUCUCUUGCCUUCAGCUUCUCCUUGUCUCCUGAGCAUAGGCUCUCUCCCUGGCCCUAUACAACCUCUGGGGCAUGGGGUCCUAUCUCUUCCAUUCCAGCUGCUCCUUUCCUCAGUUGUGAGGUUGCUUUUUGAGGGCGUAUUCACCUCCCUUUUGUUACUUGAACAAUAAGUAACCCAGGUAGUUAGUUAUAAACUCAAAGGGAACAAGAGGCUAGUUGAUAAUUUAUAGCAACAUCUCAAAUUUAAAUGGAAAGUAAAUAUCAAGUUGUUAGCAUUAAAGAAAACCCAAUCCAGAGAGCUGGGGAUGUAACAUUCAAGGGACCUUCUCUCUCCUUCACUCUUCCUGAUUUUUUCUUCCCAAUCUUUCUCUCUCUCUCCCUUUUUUUGUCCUCUUUCUGUCCAUCCUCUUUCCUUUAUUCUCCACCACCUCUCAGGGCAGCAUAAUCUGAUCCUUUUCAGAUUCCCUUGUGCCAAAGAUCUGAUUUGAUCUCUUGGAGGCAGGUUCUGAAUUCCUUGUGGUUUGAACUGGAAACGAGUUCAAAGGAGGCCCAGAGCUUUGAAGUGCUCAGGAUCAUCCCACCAGUCCUUUUAAUUGACGACUGCCAGACAUCUAUCGCCGGUUUCAAUGCACAGACUGGACCUGAGAUAGGCAGAGAGCAGGGAAGAUGACUCUGCUCCAGAAAGCACCUCCUCCCCUUGGCACAGGGCAGAAUACACAAGUAAAGUUAACAUGGCUAACCUGAGGUCCUGGAUCACAGCUUCAGCCUGGUUAAAGGCCCAGCAUACUGUAGUCUGAGCCCCAAUUGGUCACGUAGGAAACUUGUUGCAGAGCCAUGAAUAGAGGCCAGCUCUCCAAGCCUUAACCACAAGGUCAUCCUCCUUCCUGCCAUUUGGGACUCCUUUGAGUUCAGCUGCUUAACAAAAAUAUGAACUGACACUGACCAUAUAAAGAUUGCUGCUCAUGUUGAGGACUUGAAGUCUUGUGUGACACUGUCCAAUGACCUGCUCUGGCUGAGGUUUGGAGCAGAGCUGGUCAGGUCUUGAGAAAGCUAUCUCCACUUCUUAUUCAUCAAAGCAAAGGUGAUUGUGACCCACAGUCUUUAAAUGUGCAGGAGACAGCAAAGGAAUAAAGAGUAAGCAAUAUCUUGGGGAAACUCCCUAUUUUCUGAUGAAAAAAGGCGAUGAGCUACCUCUCUGGCUACCAUGGACAGAGCACAAUCCUGAGAGAUGGUAUGUGGGAGGAUUCCAGAGAGCAAUUCGGAGGAUACAGCUUCUUAAUGCACCCAGAAACCAUCUCCCAGCUAGUUCUGGUCCCCCUUGCAACCUCCAGACAUGGAAAAUUUCAGAAUGGCUGCAUCUGAAGGCCAGUUGGAACCAAAGGACUUACUACUUGUAAUCUUUCAGAGUGGACAGGACAGUGUACUGCAUGGGAAUUGUCUUAAAGUGUUGAAUUGCUGGCAUUUCCUGACAGACUUUUGGAACAAGGGUUACAUGUCAGCUGUUUGUGCAAACCGUGAACACCUCACUGGAUGGAAGGAGUACCCAAAUACAUUAUUAUUAGGGGAUUAUGAUGGGAAAUUAGUUUGUAGUAGAGCAGGAGAGUAAACAGCUACUUUUUGGUAGGUACCGAACCUGGAGCCUUGUCCUCAGCAGAGCAAUGUCUUGCCUCUUUAAUUCCCCUCGCCACGUGGUGCAGGGAGUAGUUAAGAUCAAGAAAACAGGUGUUUUGAUGCCCUUCCCUGGACAUUUAAAAUUAGACUGGACAAAGAACUAGAAAGUAUGGUAUGGGGAAUGACCCUGCAGUGGUCUUAGGGAGAUGGAGGGGAUGAACUACAAGUCUUAUUUAUCUCUAGUUUCCUCUCUCUCUAGAGGAUGAGGAGGAGGAUGUGCACACAAGUAUGCCAUCCUUUCAUUCUUUGACCUGCCUCGAUAAACAGAGGUAGGAGCACACAUUUAAACCAUCUACAGUGUUGAGAUUCAUAUUAAGAUCUUGAAUGCAGAAGAACCCAUUGCAGCUCUGAGAUAAAUUCUAAGACUGGAAUUCUGAUUUUUGCCUUCUUUCCCUGAUCAUUUCCAUCCUCUCUGCUCCCCCCAAACCUCCGAAGAGCUGACAACCAUUCCUGUCAUGUCUCUGUCUGCAAGGUGGUCAUUUCACACUAGGCCACUCUGCUUUUAUCUCUCUAUUUCCAUCAGUGAGGAAUCAGAACUGGGUCUGUUAGACUGACAUCUGAUAAAAGCCAAGCUUUGUGGCUGAUGGGGGAGGGCUCUUUGCUGUCAGUGGUGCCAUCUGAUUCCCCUCUACCACCCGUUCUCUCCUAUGCUGUUACCUUACUGUGCCCUGGGAGCUACUUAUGCAACCCGGGACAAAGAAGGAUCUUACUUGUUUGCUGCCAGCACUGAAAUGGCUCUGACAGGUCUAGGCACUGCAGCAGUGUAUGUUCAAGGUGCAGGGCAGCUCACUUGAAGAGAGACUGUAAUGUCAGACUCUGAAAUCACUGAAACUCAGAGUAAGGCUCUCCAUCUCUUGCAGGUCUGAGGAGAUUCUGUGAAAGAGAUAUAUAUGAUAAGAAAAUAAUUUGGGGAAUGCAAGCAAUGCCCCACCCCACACUGCUAAGAGUGAGUGCGUGCUGGAUCUGCAGAAAGGAAUAAACCUGCCUUGUGAACUGGUCUCAUUGUUACUGUGUAAUGCUGCUGGAGCAUGCCUGCAAAAUCAUCAUGAAUGUUUACUAGCCUAGGCACAAAGUCUACUUGCCUGCUUUUACCAUGUUGUUGCUGAAAAUCUAAUGAUAAGUUAAUUGCCCAUCAGAUAAAAUCAGUUGUGCCUCAAACGAAUGUGGUAAGUAGAGUUUUUCCAGGCUGUAGAAUUAGAAACCAUUUCAUCAUGGGUGGUCAGCAUGCAUGCUGCUGUUCUAUGGAUACCAGAAUUGUUUUAUGCCCCAUUCCCAGAAGAGUCCAGGAAACUAAUCUGAAGAACUGAAAAGUACUUGAAGUAUUGAUUUAUUCUCCCCUCUGAUAGUGGAAAAGAGCAGGAGAUUAUGUUCUACUUGUUUGUAAAGACUUGUGAAAAUAAAUUGUUUGAACAAACUGAUGCAUGGUAUGGUGGGAAUCGCUCCCAGUGAAACUCUAUUUGCAGUGCAGUAGAAUGAAAAGUCCCAAAUUCCUCACUGUGUCACAGUUUUCCAAUUUCAGUUCUGGUCAUAGUGAAAUGCUACUUAGAGUGAGAGUGUUCAGGGAGAAGAAAAUUAUUUCCCUUGAGAGGGGAUCCUGCUGUGUGUGUUUCGCUGGGCUCCCUGCAAAGCUAUUCAAGCUCCACAGCCCAAGUGGUUUGAGCAUUGGCCUGCUAAACCCAGGGUUGUGAGCUCAAUCCUUGGCCAUUUAGGGAUCUGGGACAAAAAUCGGUCUGGGGAUUGGUCCUGCUUUGAGCAGGGGGUUGGACUAGAUGACCUCCUGAGGUCCCUUCCAACCCUGAUAUUCUAUGAUAGGCUAACAUAAGAUUUUGAAUGUGACCUUCUCCUCCAUCCCUGCCCCAUCUCUAUCCCAAAUUGUUCUCCCAUACCUGCUGGGGUGGGGAUAGGGAAUGUAUCAGGAAUGGUAUAUGUGUGUUUGAGAAGGGACCUAACGGAAGAGCAGAUGGAAAUAUACUGUUAAAUAGAAAGAAGGAAUUUACAAAGGUGGAACAGUCAGGGAUCUUUAAAGGGAAAAUCCCCUGCUUCUUCCCUCCCGGUGGGUAGACUGUCAUCACCAGAAUUGUUAAUGGGAACAGGCUGUGUUCCAUGCCAUGUGAGAGUGUCACAUGAGCACUACUCAUUGUAUUAGCAUCACAACUCUUUCCUGGUGGGGUACAGAGAAGGGAUCUUACUGUUCUGUGUUCAUGUCUAGACCCACUACUUUUUCAGCAAUGGCAACACAAUUAGCUCCUGCCUGUGCAGCUACUGGGUAUUGAUGAAUGAUUAUACUCAACUCUCCAGUGAUGACUGAGGCCUCCACCUGCCAUUGUAUUCCCCAAUGGGGAAUGAAAGCUGAGCAAGUGCUUCCUCAAGUAUUUCUACUUCAUAUUUUAUAGUAACAAUUUUUUGCAGGCUUUAGAAGCUGGAGGGGUACAUGCUACUUAUAUCAGCUGUUCCUUGGCUUUUCCUCUGUCUGGUCAGGAUACCUUGGACUGCAAAAAGUUUUUGCAGAGGGUCUAGAAGUGUGGCAACAUUACAGGGAUGACUGUCUCAGCGCAGGACCUCUGAGGGAAAGGGGGGAAAGAAGUGACAUUCCUCACUCCAUCAGCUAUGAUGCAUCUUUAACACUGUUUUCAUGGCAUAGAUAUGUGGUACUUUAGGGGUAUAGCUAGAGAAGGAGAAGCCCUCAAAGAAGUCCCAAACGUCAUCUUAUUAAUAAGCACUAUUUUAAUUGUACAGGUAUUUUGGGUGCUCCCUCCUCCUCACAGGAAAGUCAUACUUUAUAUAACACUGAGCUCCUAUGUAAUACUUUCCUUUUUCAAAGAGCUUUACUAUAAUUAACUAAUCAGUCCACCCAACACCCCUGGGAGCUAGGGAAGUGUUGUUAUCCCCAUUUGAUGGUGAAACUGAGCCACAGAGAUGUGAAGUGACUCUCCUCAAGAUUACACAGAGAGCCAGUAACAGAACUGGGAGAAGAACCCAUGGCUCCCAAUCCUGUUCUCUAACCACAGAUCAACCUCCUGAAACAAAGCUGCUCUGUUUCAAUACAGUAAAUAAGACUGACAAAAAUAUAGGUCCUGAAUCCUCUCCCAUCCAAAUAAGACCAAGUAACCCAGCUCCUAAUACUGCACUGUCCACUUCAGGAGGGAUUAAGUGUUCUUGGAUAGUGGCAUGUAAGGAGAAUGCCCCAGCGCCCUAUUAAAUCUUUUUGAGGACAAUGGCAGAAAGAAAAAGACUAUAAAUACAGUCAUUAACAUUAUGUUAAUGAAUGCAGUCUCUGCAUGUACCUUGAACUUACAUUAUAAGGGCUAUUUAUUCCAGGCCUAGGUGGAGCUCUUCCAUCUCUAAGGCAAUUACAUUACAGUCACCUGUCACUUAACACUAGCUCUUUACUCUCUGCCAUGUUAAAGAGAAUAGUGAAAAAUACUGAAAGGCUGGACUGAUGUCCAAGGGCUUAAACCUGCAAAUCCUUACUCAGGCAAGUAGUUUCAACAAAAUAACAUUGAGUAAAGUUUACCUGAGUGAACAAAGCUUGUGGGAUCAGGGCCGCAAGUUGUACUCAGCAGAAACAUAAUCAUUCGUAGGAUUCAGGAUUGUCAGCAGCACUAAACAGAGAGAGACUAAGACAGAGAAGAGGGAAGGGACAAGUCAUAUCAACAGGUGACAAGUUUUCUCCCUGACAGAUGGUUUUAACAUGGUGUUUGGUGUUACAGUGAGACAUCCAUUUAACAUUUUGUCUCAGCAUGUUUCGAUGUUUUGAAUGUUCUUUUCUGCCCCUGCAGGCUUUCCUAAAAGAAUCCUGAGCUUCUGGUUUCUUUAAUCUCCUUUGUUGUCUUUAAAGAAAAAGUCAAAGAUGUCUCUGUAAGUGUAAGUUUUCUGUAACAUACCAGGGAAUGUAAUUAAAGAAUUCUAAAAGUUCAGAA